UGCAAGUCGAACGAAGUAGCAAUACUUAGUGGCAGACGGGUGAGUAACAUGUAGGUAUCUGCCCUUUGGCCUGGAAUAACACGAGGAAACUUGUGCUAAUACCGGAUAAGUCUUUACGGAGAAAGCUUUAUGCACCAUUGGAUGAGCCUGCACUUGAUUAGUUUGUUGGUGGGGUAAUGGCCUACCAAGACUGUGAUCAAUAGCUGAUUUGAGAGGAUGAUCAGCCACAUUGGGACUGAGACACGGCCCAAACUCCUACGGGAGGCAGCAGUGGGGAAUCUUGCACAAUGGAGGAAACUCUGAUGCAGCGAUGCCGCGUGAGUGAAGAAGGCCUUUGGGUUGUAAAGCUCUUUCGUCGGGGAAGAAAAUGACUGUACCCGAAUAAGAAGGUCCGGCUAACUUCGUGCCAGCAGCCGCGGUAAUACGAAGGGACCUAGCGUAGUUCGGAAUUACUGGGCUUAAAGAGUUCGUAGGUGGUUGAAAAAGUUAGUGGUGAAAUCCCAGAGCUUAACUCUGGAACUGCCAUUAAAACUUUUCAGCUAGAGUAUGAUAGAGGAAAGCAGAAUUUCUAGUGUAGAGGUGAAAUUCGUAGAUAUUAGAAAGAAUACCAAUUGCGAAGGCAGCUUUCUGGAUCAUUACUGACACUGAGGAACGAAAGCAUGGGUAGCGAAGAGGAUUGGAUACCCUCGUAGUCCAUGCCGUAAACGAUGUGUGUUAGACGUUGGAAAUUUAUUUUCAGUGUCGCAGGGAAACCGAUAAACACACCGCCUGGGGAGUACGACCGCAAGGUUAAAACUCAAAUGAAUUGACGGGGACCCGCACAAGUAGUGGAGCAUGUGGUUUAAUUCGAAGAUACGCGCAGACCUUACCACACUUGACAUGUUCGUCGCGACUC
rnacentral:rRNA from 1 species